CAGUCAGGAUGUUGCAUGGCUGAAGUGGGCCCAGGCAAGGAGCUUUUCCGAGCGAAGCGUGUGCGCAUGAGAGCACGUCUGGCAAGAAAAGGAAGAAGGAUGAGGACAGAAAAACAGAUGCAUGGGUGCGCGUAUGAAGUGGGUUUGUGUGUCCGUGUUGCUUCGCUUCCAAAAAUAGUAAGCAUCCGUUUCUGAAAGUCUUGUCUUUCAGCAACAUGGUGUGUCCCUGGGGAGCUGCUUCACCGAGCCACCCCACUCACCUUCUGUUGUGAAAGAGCCUAGAUGACGUUCAGCACCUCUCACCAGAUCGGCAGCGGCAGAGUCAAUAGAAUUCCAAAAACAUUGGGUCCAUCCAAGCAGAAAAUGUGCUCCAAACACUGCCCUGCUUUGGCCAGCCGUGACACCGGCGCACUGCUUUGUGAGAGGUUAUCAGCCAGAGCAAAGAUGGCCAUGGUUGAGGCCUGUUGGUCAUCCUGGAGAGCAGCUCAGAGGCCUUGGGAGAGAAGUUGUGACUGCAGCACAAGCCUUCACCAGAAAGAUGCAAAGCAGUCCAACUGCACAUUGCAUGCUGUUCUUAACAACUGGGUAUUCAGGGAUGACAGCAGCAGACGGUGUAGCGGUGAGGCUACGCGACAAGAGCUGGUGAAACAUGAGAUCCUGCCACCUCCCCAGUGUACAAACAAGACAUGGCUGCAAGGGAAGACUGUGUUCUCUGCAAAAACUUCCUCUCUCUUAUACCGCUUUCUUGUGUUUCGGAGCGUUUGGUCGAUGCUUAUCUCCUACUGUCAAGAUAGCAUUCCCCAUGUAGAGAGGACAAAGGCAGAAGCACAGAGGUCGGCAGGAAUACAGGAGGAGCUGAAAGGCAAAUGUGUAGGCCUCUGAAUGUCCUAACGAGGUGGCUGUGGCUCAUAGGGAUGCACAGGGAUGUAAAAGCUGCUCUAAUUAAAAUUUUUAUAUUACAAAUUUAUCGACUAACAACUGUAUGUUCAAGAGAUUUCUCACCCAACUGUUCAGUUUCCUUCACAUCCUUCUAACAACUUUCAGCUUAUUGUUUUGGGUUUUACAGGCCAAAGUGUCAGUAAAUAUUGGACUUAUAUCUGUUGGACACAAGCACGACUCCAAAUGUGUGCCAAUGUUGCUUUAAGUACUUUUUUUAGCCAUGUUUCCACAUUCCCAGAUCUCAGCAAUUAAGCUGGUGAGUCAUUAUUAUCAAUAAGAAUGAUUGGCAAAACUACAAAACUAACUGUAUAAAACCAGACUUUCUCUUUAACUGCAAAUCUACUACCUGCAUGGAAUAAUACCAUUACAUGUGCAACAUUGUCUUCUAGAACUCUCUGAUGUUCAAGGAUCUUAAAACUUUCGACUCAGUGUUUUAAUAGUACUAUUUUAGGUCAUGUUUGUAAUGAUGAAUAUGUAAAUGUUCAGUGUUUACUCUGAUAAUGCUUAUGCGGUUUCAUAGAUGGUGGUAGGAAAUCCACAGAGGACUGGGAGUAACCCCAUUAGCACACUGCUGGAUAACCAUGCAGAGGCCCAGGGGAGGUCAUUAUGAAGGAGCUGUUUGCUAUCUUCAUAUCUGUAAUUAACAUAUGCAAUGCUGAUUACUUCUUUCAGCAUUUAACCUAGAUCUAUAUUUGAACCAGUCAAUAACAUGAAAAAAAAAAACCCCAGAAACAAACAAAAGAAUUCACAAUGGUGUUAAAACAUCACCCACAUUCCAUAGACGCCGGUUUCACUCAACAGGUUGGACGCUGUAAAAAAAACAUCACAAUACCAAAUGGAUUUUGCCAUUCUUUUUUCCAUGAGAUCCUGUUCCUGUUUAGGACUGUUUAGAAGAGGUGUGUUUGGGUUUGAAUGGCAGGAAAAUGUGACAGGAACAAGUGUGGGAUUGUGUGGUAUCCCAACGGUAUCCCACAUCUCCAUGCGAGCCCUCUGUGACGACCAGCUGCAGAAUUCAGUUUACACUUGACGGCUCCAUAUUUACACGGGAAGACGGCAUGAAUAAAGAACAAUUCAAUCACUGGCUUCCACCUCUGUUUUCAUUUCCCCGGCACGCAGAAAGAUGGAAUGAAAGGAAAGGAGAAAGAAAAUGAAAGAGAGAGAGAAGAAAAUCAUGUGAAAGAAAUUACAGCAAAGCGGAGGAAUGUUUGAUAUACACUCGGACUGU
ensembl:lncRNA